CAGCCGCCGCGGUAAUACGUAGGUGGCAAGCGUUGUCCGGAAUUAUUGGGCGUAAAGGGCUCGCAGGCGGUUUCUUAAGUCUGAUGUGAAAGCCCCCGGCUCAACCGGGGAGGGUCAUUGGAAACUGGGAGACUUGAGUGCAGAAGAGGAGAGUGGAAUUCCACGUGUAGCGGUGAAAUGCGUAGAGAUGUGGAGGAACACCAGUGGCGAAGGCGACUCUCUGGUCUGUAACUGACGCUGAGGAGCGAAAGCGUGGGGAGCGAACAGGAUUAGAUACCCGGGUAGUCCCUGUCUCUUAUAA
rnacentral:rRNA from 1 species